UCUAGUAACGCAAAUAAUUUUAACGUUACAGUGAAAGGUCCACCCACUGGAGCUACGUCACAUAAGGAUUUUGAACAAUUGAAGCUAGAACUGGCGCAACUGGAUGUCCUUUUUAGCCAACGCCGGGAGACGAAACAAAACGUAAGUGGACGGUCGAUGGUCAAUGGUUUUGUGUUUCCACUAACAACGGAAGCCGAUGUGGAAAGGCUGGAAGCGGCAGUGCAUUCGAACGCCACCGUAAGGGGGCAAUAUAUUCAACUGUUGAAAGCCAAAAAACCGAAACAUAUCGAUCUGGUGGAUUGUUUGGCAAUGCUUUUUGGUUCAAGCUCUGUGGAAGCCUAUACCUAGAGUGGAUGUCGGAUAUCAAAAUUUCCAAAGAAAGCGAUGAAAAAUUACUCUAUUUCAACGGAUGCAUGCUAGGUUAAGUUGUUGAAGUGUUUUAUGAUACGUCAUUUUCGAUUUACUGACAAAGCAUCGAAAGACAGAACGUCGAUUUUCAAAUCAUCCGAAUGGCCUCCAUGUAGAUGGCACAAUGCGUGAAACUAUUGACGUACUAGCUCAUUAUGUCGCUUCAAUGUGUAAAUUCGCUUUGAAACUGAUUAAUGCUUCUCAUUUCACAGCUGCUUGGGAAUCACAAGAAAUGGACAUCAAAAUGCUGGAGGAGAACAUCAAACAAGCUAUUCAUCGCAUUCGACGGCGCCGGUUGGCAAACAUUUUAUACGAUAAGAAAAAAUCCACCUCUGAAAUGUGAUAUGUUGUCGAAUAAAAUCCAUUAAAAUCCAAUGCAAUGUGUGUCGCAUUUGAAUGAUAAUUUUUAGUUGAAUCAGAGAUCACCUAACCUCGUUCAUUGUCCGUUACAGAUGUAUUCUAUAUAGCAGACACUCGUAGCCCUAGCACCAAAAAGGGUGAAAUCCGGCUGAAUAGGCGAUCUUUCAAAUUUGCGGUAAAUGAUGACGACGAAUCGAACGAUGAAGCUGAAAAUCCUAUGUUCCGAUCCGUGCCUGGGUUCAGAUUUCCGCUGAAAACAGCCAAAGAUAUUGAAGAUCUCGAACGCAGCGUUCGCGCAAGCGCCACCAUUCGACGACAAUAUAUUGAACUACUACGGAAAGCACGUCGACUGGUCGAGAAACCAUCUUUUGCCUUCCUGAAGUUGUUCAGCGACGCAGCACUGCUGGACUACAACUACAGCGGGCGAUGCAACUUUUCCGGAACACAGAAAAAAGCAAUGAAGGAUUACAAAAUCUUCGCUGAGUGCAUUGUUGAAGCUUGGGGUGGGGAAUCCUACUCGAUAGAAGAGCUUCGACAGUAUUUAUGCAAUGCGAUCACGUUGGUUAACAAUAGAAAACGAGGGGCUCGCUUCCGCAAGAACCAGCGAAGUACUAGAGGAGACAAGAAAUGACACCGCGGAUGAAAACUGUGCUGGGCAAGCGAUCGAAAAUGAUACAUAAUGCUCGCAUUUGUUGAACUGAUGCUUAUUUGAUAAUUGAAAACUGUUUAGUAUUAUUCUUCAUUUUGAUGAGGAAGUGCGUAACGAAUGGUUUAGUGGAAGAACAAUUUUUCAAAUAUCAAUCAAAACGUACAAGAAUUCUUCCAAAUUUGAAUCGAUAUUUUCUUUUAUAAUGUGACUGUACACAAUCUAGUACUACAUAUUUUUGUUUAGGCUCAAUUAAAUUCAUACAAUUAUUUCAAUUAUCGCCACGAAGUUUGAAUCACUGCCCUAUAAGAUUGCAUCGCAGUUGAUUUGCUCAAAAAUCUAAAUAAUAACAAAUUCAACUCUUUUCAGCAUGGCGUUUGCGCUUAAAAAACCCUAAUAUCAGCUGCAGCGAAACUAAGGCACUGCUGGCCGCGGCUAUGGAGCACACUGGUGUACCGGGAUUCCGGUUUCCGAUCCGAUCUGAGGGCGAAAUCGAACGGCUAGAAGUUGCCGUCCGUAGUGACAUGUACAAAUGGGACAAUUAUAUUGCAUUCCUGCGAGAUUUGAGGGCCAAUGAUCUCCACACACCAAUACGGUGCAUUUUCCAGUCGGUGUUCUACGACGAAGCUCUAGCUAACUAUAAUUAUAAUGGAAUUAGCACUGCGCCGGGCGUUCAGAAGCGAGCAAUGAAAAGCUACGCCAUCUUUAGGGACUGCUUCGCUGUGGCCUGGCAAGAAUUUGGAAUCACCGACGAUAUGAUUCGUGCCAUGUUGACAGAAAUUAUUAAAAAUAUCAACAGGCGAAAACGAAAUCGACAAUAUAAAAAUCGGAUACAGAAGAAAAAGAGGCUUCAAAACUCGUUUGGUAAGUGCAAAUUGAAUCGUGUGGUCAUGAUAUACAGUUUAAUGUUUUCGAUUUAUUUACAGAAACUACGAACCCCUGAAAUGUCUGGUACAUUAGUUUUAUCAUGACUAAUCAACAUGUCGAAUUAAAAAAAAAAAAAACAUCGCCACCAAUAAAAUCAUCAUCAAGGGGGUACAAUCUAGUACUGCACUGCUCAAUUGUCGCUUUUGUGUAAUACUCCAUAACUGUCUGCAUGAAAUCUCGUGGAACAGUAAUAGUACACUAAUGACAACAGAAGGAAGACUGUUUUGCAUUUUCAACAAUAAAUCUUUUAAUUUAUCACAACCCUAUGUUUCACUGCAGUUUAUGAAUAUUUCAUCACCUAACAUCAGUACAACUUUUCUCGAAAUCAUUUUUUAUAAUUUCCCAGGCACAAACACCAUUUCGAACGUCCGUUGGAUUAUAAAGCCAAAAAAGAAAUCUGCCCUUAGUGCAGCGCAGCGCAGGUCCUCCGAACAUGUCCGUCAGCCGGAUUCGAUGAUAGAUUCCAAAGUAACAGAAAACAUUUCAGGUUUCCGAUUUCCCAUUGAAUCUGACAACGAUAUUGAGCGCUUGGAAGAAACCGUUCGCAGUUGCGCUCUUACACGUAGGAGAUAUAUCAAUUGCCUUCGGCAGAUCAAGGACUCAAGCGAAAAUGCAUCCAUCGAAAGCAUCUUCAAGAUGUUCUUUUACGACGAAAGUCUCACCGAGUACAAUUAUAAUGGCUUCAGUAACAGUCGUCGGGCCAAGAAAC